ensembl:lncRNA
CCCCUCUGAAAAAUUUGGAACAUUCCACAAGACACAUUUUCAACAGGAAGUUGCAUCAUCUGGCUCUUCUGAAGACAAUGGGAAGACCAAAAGCAAUAUAAUCAAGGGCAGAGAAGAAGCUGAAAAACAAGAAAGAACUAAAGGUUCUGUUGAAAAAAGUAUCCAAAAAAGCACAAAAGUACAAGAAAAAACUCCAGCACAUUAAAAAGAAAAAUGCAUCUCCAGGCACAAAAGUAAACGAACAGCUGAGACAGCUUCCAAGUGUGGCCGCUCAGAAGUCCCUUUUGUUUCAUGAAGCUCUGGUGGAGGGCAUCCGAAACAAAUACAAAAAUGCAGAGGGGGAGAGGGAAAAGCAAAUCAUUUCAAAAGUGAUAACAGGAAAAGUACAAAUGCAAUGCUUUGCUCAAAAUUCAUUGGGCUUUUCAAUUAAAAGAUGCAAAAAUGAGAAGAAUAUAAAGGUUAACUACACCUACUAAAGGAAGCAGAACAACAGGGUUGCAGAUGGUCUGAUACGCAGAGUGGGGGUUUUUACUCAAUGGAUGACGUGAGUCGCAUCAGAACUGGGAAGAGGCAAUCAGAAGAAUAACAAAAAGCAAAAACGGUUCCUUUUGGAUACCAUGAAAAAUUUGCACAGGAAGUUUUUGGCUGAAGAACAAAGCUCCAUCUCUUACUCACUCUUCUGUAAGCUCAGACCUUUUUGGAUUGUUCAUCCGACCCGGAGUGAUCAGGACACGUGCAUGUGCAGGAUGCUUGAGAAUCUGGGUUUUCUUGUGUAAAAGCUACACUACUUCAUAGUAAUCAGUACCAUCAAUCUGGAUGACCUUUUGAAAGAGAUAUCAUGUGACACAGAAAAUAUGAAGUGUAUGUAUGGAGAAUGUUCGGAGUGCAAGGACCGUUCUUGCCCAGUCUCUACAGAGUACAAUCCAGAGAAUAAAGUGUCUUAUAUUCAGUGGGUAGUUGUGGAUAAGCAGCAUGACCCCAUUGGCAAAACCUCUAAAAUCACAAUUAAAAAAAAAGAGUUCCACACCACUCUAGAAGAAUUGCUGGAACAGCUAAACCUGCUGCUGCAUAGGUUUAAGAGACACACUUUUAACAUCAACAAUCAGUUUAUCCACUACAGGGCAUUGAGACAAAGCUUAAAAGCACAUGAAUGCUUAAUUUAUGUUGACUUUUCUGAAAACUACCUCUGCAAGUACAGCACAGAAAUACAGUCAGUCCACUCCGGAGCAUCACAUCAGCAGGCAACACUGCACACGUGUGUGCUUUAUGUGUAUGCAACCCCUCAAUUGAUGUGCUUCUGCACUGUCACUCUCAAGAAAAAAGGGCCCACCAGCAAUCUGGCAACACUUGUCACCAGUGCUAAUUUUUUCUUGAGUUGUACUGAGCUGCUCAGGCGAGGAUUCACUGCAGGGACGUGGAACUUUUUUGAGGCGAGCCACGGGAAGGGUGCCCCGGGAUGGUGUUGGAGGGGCCCUGAAGAGGAGGGCUGACAGUCUAGUCAGCCAAGGAAGAGACAUUCCUGAUGCUGAAGACCUGUUUGCUGUGUUGCAAGAGACAGACACAAAAAUCAAGUUGUUUAUUGUCAGCGAGGAAGCAGUUGAUAAAGCAGUUUCAGAGAUGCCCAAUGAUGAGCCACCAGUUCCGUCCAUUAUGAGGAUCCAUUAGGUAGUGUCCCUAGCCCAUGGAGAACUGACAUACAGGGACGUCAGCUGCUUGUGCACAACAACACAAACUCUGAACUGUGGGUGCUUUAAUGCAAAGCAUUUCAAGUUCAGCAACCAGCAGACAGCUCCCAUGGCUCCCAUAGUGACAGACGUUGUUGGUAAUGUCGUGAAGUUGUUGGCAAAUGGAGUGUGCUGAAGUACGAUGGUAAUCUGUACCCUGGUGUCAUCACAGAUACAAGUGAAACACAUGUUGAAGUCCGUUGUAUGCAAAAGAUUGGGGUCAACAGGUUUGUCUGGCCAGCCCGCAAAGAUAUUCUUUGGUCCUUGUUUGAGGACAUUGUGUGUAUCAUCACACUACCAAGGCCAGUCACAGGUCGUCACAUGAAAAGUGAGAGAGAAGGCUAGGCCAAACUAGAGAAGGCUUUUUAGAAAGGGUCAGGGAAGUUUGUUUUCAUGUAUUGAGUGCAAUUCUAGCUAAAACACUAUUGGAUGUAGUUUCUGCAACUGAACAUUUUUUGUUUUGUAGAUGAAGAUGGAGAGAACCCAGAAGCCUAGGGCACAUGGCACAUAUCUUCAGAAAUCGGUCUCUCACACACACAAGCUAUGCACACUCACGGACACACACACACACACGGACACACACACACACACACACAUUCCUGUUGCUCAGAUUUCAUUCCUAUUACGCAAUGUUCAUUUCUGUUAUUAAAUAGUUUUUCUCUAAAAAAUAAAGUUAAACCACUGCUUUUCUCAAUUGUGGUAUGUCCAUCAUUUAUCCAAUAUCUUAAUUAAUUACAUGAUAUAUAAAAUGAUAAAGUUGAGGUUUGGCUCUCCUUUAAAAUGAAAAAGUGGCUUUGCAUUUUUUUUUAUUUUUUUUUAAAGAAUACACCUGUGCAUAUACAAACAAAUAUCAAUUAUUUAAACAUGCAACCAAACAUUAUAGAAAAUAUCUAUGAAGUGUAAUCAAUAGGUGUAACUAACUUUUGGAUAUGUUAAUGAAGUGUAUUCAAUAUGUAUAACCAACAUUUAGAAUUAUUACUUAAGCAUAAUCGAAUAAUCAAUAUUAGUUAAAAAGCAUAAUGUAUAUGUAUAACCAAUAGUUAGAAGCAUAAUCUAAAUCCAUAGAACAAUGUUUGAUGAAGUUAUAGUCUGAGUGUGGAUUGAGCUGGAUGAACUCUGUGUCUUACUGUACAAUGAUCGAUCUUGCUGUACCAGCCUGUAUCUUCCUCCACAGAAGCAGAUAACUUUGAGGCCCGAUACCAAUUAACGAGCUAGGAUAAGACUUUAAAAAAAAGUGAGUGUGGAUCAAGGUCAGGACACACAAGCCUGUGUGAAACCUUUUUUGAAUAAAAAAAAAAAAAACAAGAAGAAGAAGAAACCAUGACCUGGUGAACUCGUUUUGAGAAAAAACAACUAACUGCGCAUGCUCCAAAUAUAUCAGAUAACAUAUAGAUAUGAAUAUUUAAAAGCGACAAAGAACAUUGGUCUGUUUAUAAUGAAGAAAGGCAAAACCCCGCCUAAGAUGGAUACACUGUGGAGGAAGGUAUAUAAAGUGCUGUGUGUGUUUGCAUAAUUCAGACUUUCGGCAGACUGUCACACUUUAUCGGUUUUCAAUAAAGUUUAUUUACUUUUUAACAUCUACUAAACUCUCUGUCCCUGAAGUUUUUGACUUAGGCUAAAAAUCUUGAUUUAUUCACUACACCAUUUCUUUAAAAUAAACACUUUGGUGAGAGGAAAACAGGAAUUAGUUGACAUUGUUUUUCAACAUGCUUUUUUAAAAGACACGAGUUUUGCUAACAGGACUGAGAAAAAUGCAUCCAUCUCCCGCUUUGAAACCUUG